rfam:Japanese encephalitis virus isolate JEV RP9 polyprotein gene, complete cds
AGAAGUUUAUCUGUGUGAACUUCUUGGCUUAGUAUCGUUGAGAAGAAUCGAGAGAUUAGUGCAGUUUAAACAG